CUGUGAGAAAACCCAAGCAGAGCUUUGUUCUUCAGACCUGAUCACACCAACUACCCUGCUCUGGGGGGUAUGAAGGCCCCGUCAAACACAGCUCCCCAGUAGUGAUAAUCUAGGCCAAGCCCUUGGACUUCUGCUUGCAUAUCUUCUCCUUCAAUCUGUCAUAGCACCUGGGGCCAUUACCAAAAUGAAGGCAGCAGGUGCCCCCAGUGGGACUCUUCUUGCUGAACAUGAAAAUCUCCAGUUUCCGUGAGCUGAGCUGAUCACCUUGAACACCUGUUAUUGUUAAGGGAAGAAAUAGGCCCUGUUAUGGCUCAGGUUGUUUGCUCCAUCCUGGCACCUGUAUCAGGACAGCAACACCAUGCCCUGCAAGUGUCCUUUUGCUCUGCUGCCUGUGCAGACUCAGGGCAGCUGUCACAAGGAUAAAGAUCUGCGUUUUGUUAAAUCAGUCAAGGAGCCUGUGAAGAUGUCUUCUAACUCCAGACAUAAGGAAGUAUGAGAGCAGGCAAUGGUCUCCCAGAAGUCCUGCAUCAGAUGUGGCUUGGAUGUCCUAGGAGGUCUCAAAUGGUGUUAGAGAUGUUUGAAAUACUAUACAUCUCACUCCAACGGAAAAAGUCCAAACCUUUCUGCUUGAGACAAAGAAAUGGCAUUGUAGCAUCUGUGAAAUGCUUUUUUUAACCAUUCACCAUCCUUCAUAGUA